AUAUAGCAGUCGACAUGGAGGUUAAAGUCAAAGAGGUCAACGCCAGAUAGCCAACGGGCUCACCGAAAGGGGCCGAGCAGAGCUCUCCUGCAGUGGCUGAUCGGGUAUGAACCUUUUGACCGGCAAAGGACUGGUCCGAGCAGAACACCUGUGCGGCCAAGAUCAUCAGAUGUUCGUCAUGGAGCAUAGGAGCGUUGGGACAACCGGAGCGUUAGUCUGAUCGGGUAGAAGUAUGCUACCGAGUCAAGUCACUGCAGAGAAGAGUAACCGAGUCCAACCGAGCGGAGGAGUAUUUAGCCGAGCGGCUAUCCCGCUCGGCCGAGCAGAUAGAUCACUGACGUAUCUCUUCAUAUUCUCUGGGAGAUAGUGCCGCUGACAUAGGACAUUGUCAACAGGCGGAUCGUACGACGGAAGCUCUUACUGUCUUGUUAGGGAUAUACAUGCCCUGUUAAGGUAUGGUGUCAGAGGCAUUUUCCUGACAGGUCCUUUCAUAGGAAAAAUUGAAAAAUGUGCCCACGCCUCAGGGAGCGUGCACGACACCCACUAGGGCGCUAUAAAAGGAGGGGUCCAUACAUCAGCGGAGGUACACGCGUUAUUCACUAUUCACGCCUGUGUCUACUGUUGCUAUGUCUUUUUCAUCUUUUCGGUGACUGACUUGAGCAUCGGAGGGCCAACGCGCCGGGGACCCCUUCCCUAGCUCGGCACUGACGUUUCUUGUGUUGCAGAGCGGAGUCCACAUCCAGUCAACGCAGCAACCACAUCCCUAGUUUGCCAUCUCCACGAUUUUCGGACAGAAUCAUAUUGGCGCCGUAUGUGGGAAGUAGCCUGCAUUCGAUACGUAAAGAUGGAGGACGCUGGAUGAUUCACUACUUUGACUCUAACAAAAGAAGAGUUAGAUAUGCUGAUACAAGCUUGAGCGGCAAAAAUGGUGAGGCAACAACAGGAACGCUAGGCACAGGAGCUCGCGGCCUCAGCAGCGAGUCAUUGAGCCGGAUAUGGAGACCGAGCGGAUCAUGUACUCAUUCGGGAACAUAGUAAGAAGCCGAUCGGCACCUACGGAGACGCGCCCAAUGUGUCGAUCUCCUUCCAUCGGGCACUCUUCCACACUCCAUCAGAGGAGCUUGGCCAAGCGGAUAGGGAACGAGGAUCCUCCUCGGACGACGUGCCUGUUCGUGAUGCGUGGAAGGGGAAAGCACAAAGGAAUAAUGAUUUGCCCGAGCGGAUAAUCAAUAGUUCUCACAGGGGAUCUUGGACGACCCUCUACCAAGACAUUACACCCCGUUGACAAUCGGGGAGUAUAACAGAAUGAUCGAUCCGGACGACCACUUGGCCAAGUUUGAUAACGCGAUCACACUUUAUCAGUACACCAACGGAGUGAAGUGUCGAGUCUUCCUCACUACUCUCUCCGGAUCGGCACAACGCUGGUUUAGGAGAUUGCCGAACAGAUCAAUUCAUAACUUCAAAGACUUCCAAGCGGCAUUCUUACAUCACUUCGCUAACCGCCACCGCUACCAGAAGACGAGCGUUAACCUGUUCACAUUGAAGCAAUGACCUAAGGAGGCAUUAAGGGCCUACAUCAAGCGCUUCAAUCAGGUGGUCAUGGAUAUUUCAUCGGUCUCCUCUAAAAUAUUGACGAACGCCUUCACCCAGAGGCUCACCGAAGAAGAGUUUUUCCGCUCACUCAUCCGGAGGCCGCUAAAGGAUUUCGACCACCUGCUCACAAGGGCCAUGAAGUACAUAAAUGUGGAAGAGACCCAAGUGGCAAAAAGACAGGAGGAGCGCCUGAGUGGCGACCACUUAGUAGCCAUCAACCACCUAAGGGGCUCUGAACGGGAGGAGCAUAGCAACACCAGGAGCCCAAAACGCAUGUCGUGCAGCAUGUGGCAGCCGGUCGCCCAAAAGUUGCAAAAGGCAAGUCAUGGACGUCAUUGUUCUGCUCCUUCCACCAGUCGGCGACACACAACACACGCGAAUGCUAUGACCUAACACCAAUCACUAGCAGACCGGCUCCGUGGGGAUAUCGCCGCCAAUCACCAUCUCUUGAUUGACGCUAUAGACACCGAUCAGCCGACCGAAGGGACGAAGAAAGAACGAUGGCCGAAUCACGCUAUUAUCAGUCUCAGCAGAGGAACAACACCAGUCCUGCUUGAGCUUCUGCUGAGCGGAACAUACCCUUGGCUCAAGAGGAAGAAAAUAAGAGCAAUGCCGCUCGGGGGGAAAUCGGAAUGAUUGCCGGUGGGCCGACCGACGGUGAUUCAAACCGAGCUAGAAAGUCGCACGCGCGACGACUAGAAAUACAUGCUGUUGGAUGCAGCAAGAAGAAGGCCAAGGGACCUGAGAUCAGUUUCAACCUCGAGACCUGGAGGGAGUGGAGAUCCCUCAUGACGACGCCUUGAUCAUCCGAGCGGUAAUAGCUAAUUAUACCAUUUACCAAACCUUUGUUGAUACAGGAAGCUUGGUGAAUAUUAUAUUCAAGAAGACGUUCAACCAACUGCAAAUUGAACGAAGCGAGUUGCAGCUAAUGACGACCCCCACUCUACGGGUUCACAGGCAACGAAAUAUUGUUGAUCGGCCAGGCUCGACUGGCCAUAUCGCUCGGAGAGGACAAGGACCACGAACUUCAUUGUGGUGGACGCGCCGUCCGCCUACAAUGUUAUAUUGGGCCGACCGACCCUUAACGAGUUUUGAGCGGUGGUGUCCACUUUCUGCCCGAAAAUCAAGUUUUUGGUGGACAACAAGUUGGGCGAAGUUAAAGGUGACCAGUUGGACUCUCGACGAUGCUACAUCGAGAUGGUCAAAUCCGAGGCACGGGCCGCUCAAAAGGUCCCGCGCUUGGAAGUGAAUGCUAUCAUGGAAGAACCUCCCGUGUUGGUCUAUAAAGAAAAGAAGGAGGUUCAGAUCCACCCCAGCCUGUCAGAGACAACUACAUUUGUCGCGGUCGACCUAGAAAGUGAGAAGAAGGCAGAGUUGGACCAUGAUGUGUUUGCUUGGUCGACACACGAGUUCUCGAGCAUCUCGCCGAACGUGGCUCAGCAUGAGCUUCACGUUCGACCGGACGCUCGACCCGUGAAGCAACGAAAGAGGGACUUCAGCGCGGAGCAGAACCAGAUCAUCCGAGUGGAGAUAGAAAAACUACUGGAGGUCAGUCACAUUCGCGAAGUUCAAUUUCCAAGCUGGCCUGCCAACCUUGUGCUGGUCUCCAAGCCGGGCAAUAAGUGGCGAGUCUGCAUCGACUUUCGCGACCUAAACAAGGCUUGCCCGAAAGACUUCUAUCCUCUGCCCAGGAUAGACUAAAUGGUGGAUUCCACAGUUAGUUGCGAGCUGAUCUGCAUGCUCGACGCGUAUCAAGGAUACCACCAGGCGCCGCUCGCCCGAGAAGAUCAAGAAAAGGUUAGCUUCAUCACCGCCGACGAAACUUAUUGCUACAAUGUCAUGCCGUUCGGAUUGAAGAAUGUCGGGGCUAUCUACCAAAGACUAAUGACAAUAUGUUCUGACGGCAGAUCGGCCGCAACAUGGAGUUAUAUAUUGAUGACAUAUUAAUAAAAUCCCUACAAGUUGCUGACCUUUGUGCAGGUAUCGAAGAAAUUUGGCGAACUUUGAGGGCAUAUGGACUAAAGCUGAACCCGAGCAAGUGCCUAUUCGGAGCAAAGAGUGGCCGCUUCCUCGGCUACAUCUUCACCGAACAGGGAAUCGAGGCGAAUUCAAGCAAGGUGAAGACACUAUAAGACAUACCCCGCCCUGCAACUUGAAGGAAGCCCAACGGUUGACCGGACGAAUUACUGCACUAUCAAGAUUCAUCUCCAAAUCGUCUGAUCGGAGUCAUCUGUUCUUCAAGAUACUGCGCCGAGUGACUAAGUUCCAAUGGGACGCGGAAUGCGACAAGGCAUUGGAAGAGCUUAAGAAGUACCUUACCUCCUUGCUUGUAAUGGGCAAGCCCAUUGCCGACGAGCUGCUAUGGAUUUACUUAUCAUCUAUCGAGUAUGCGGUUGGCUCGACGUUGGUGCGUCAUAACGGCUCUGAGCAACAACUUGUAUAUUUUCUGAGUCAUAUAUUAAAAGAUGCAGAGUCUCGCUACACUAGUUUUCAAAAAUUGCCAUACACACAAGUACUCGCCCCUCAGAGACUCCGUCCGUAUUCCCUAUCACAUCCGAUCAUUGUGAUGACCAACAGCGCAUUGGGAAGAGUUCUCCUUAACCAUGAGGUAUCCGGACGGCUGAUCAAAUGAACAACCUAGCUGAGCGAGUUCGAUAUACAAUAUCAACCCCAGACGGUGAUCAAAGCCCAGGCCUUAGCUGAUUUUGUCACGGAGGUCCAGAACGCUGAGUUGGACGCGACUUGGAAAAUAUAUAUAGACGGAUUGUUCACUCGGCAAGGUAGCGGAAUCAGCAUUCUCUUGAUUUCGCCAUGGGAGGACGGGAUGUAAUUGUCCGUGCGACUGGAUUAUUGGACUACAAAUAAUGAAGCUGAGUAUGAAGUCUUGAUAGCCGGCCUACAGGCAGCUUAGCAUGUAGGAGCCACUAGAGUGCUCAUUCACUCGGAUUCCCAGCUGGCAGCUUAGCAGCUAUGGGGGGCAUUCGAAAUAAGCAACGCGCGGCUUAGGCUGUAUGCCAAAGCUUAAGUUGAAAGUCGGUUUUCAAGAAGUGAUUAUACAUAAGAUUCCCCGAUUGGAAAACUAGGUUGUGGAUGAGUUGGCUAAGUUAGCCAGUUCACUGUCGCCGAUCGUGAUAGAGCAGCCAAUCGAGCAGGUCUCACUAGUGGUGCACAUCGACAGGAAGGAUGGAGUAAUCUUUCCGAGCGAUUAGAGGACCCAUUGAUAGAGUUCCUCCGAUCGGGUAGCACUCCAGUCGAUCAGGAAGAAGCUCACCUGUUGAAAAAGAGGGUCGGGCGGUUCACUUUGAUGGGGGACCAGCUAUAUAAAAGAGCUUUGUCAAGGCCGCUACUCAAGUGUGUCAGAUCGGAGGACGUGGAAUACAUCCUUCAAAAAUUGCAUCAGGGCUCCUGCGGAAGUCAUCCAGGCGGCAGAUCGUUAGGUCGCUAGCCCGAAAGAUCUUGUUGGCGGGAUAUUUUUGGUCUACACUGCAAGAUGAUGUCGUUCGAACAAUGACCAUCUGCCUAUCGUGUCAAAAAUAUCACAACAUCCCGUAUUGACACACCAACGAAAUGAAGGCAUUCACGGUGUCUUGUCCGUUCGACCAAUUGGGCAUGGACAUCAUUGGACCAUUUCCAAUGGCAACCGGCUAGCGAAGAUUUCUACUCGUCGCAGUAGACUAUUUUUCAAAGUGGGUGGAGGCCGAGUCGCUAGCCAAGAUAACCGAACACAUGGUCAUCAAGUUUAUAUGGUAGAAUAUUUUGUGCCGGUUUGACAUCCCUCGCAUGACAACGGAAGACAGUUCGUCGGACGAAGGCUCAGGGAGUGGUGCGAAAGCUAUGACAUUGUGCAGGAUUUUACCUAGGUGGCCUACCCCCAGAGCAACGGCUAUGCGGAAGUCACCAGCUGGGAGAUUCUCAGAGGGUUACGGGCUUGGCUCGAUCAUGCUGAGGUAGUUGUGUCAAUGAGCUCCCUAGGGCCCAUUGCACAACACCAAGAGAGGCGACCGACGUCACACCGUUCCAUCUGGUAUACGGCUGUGAAGCGGUGGUUCCAAUGCAAGUCGGAGUAGAGUCCAAUCGGGUGCAGCUCUACGACGAGAGGAACGCCGAGUGGAGACUCAUGGAGCUCGACUUGGUAGACGAAGCGCGGGACAAGGCUGUCGUCCGGUUGAUGGCGUACAACAACACAUGAAGCAGAACUACAAUCGGAGGGUGAUUCCAAAGUCAUUCCAGGUCGGCGACUUGGUGUGGAAAAGAGUGAAGUCAGUCGGCGACGUCACCAAGUUGGAGGCUCCAUGGGGAGGACCUUUUAAACUCAUUCAGAAGCUCCGCUCAGGAGCAUACUACCUACAGGACGAAGACGGUAGAAGGCUCGAACGACCCUAGAGCACGAACCAUCUCCAGCCCUAUAGGGUCGGGUGAUAGGUGAGUGGUUACAUCCAGAUGUACUUGUAUAAGUGUAUGUGUUGUGGAUGCAGAAAGAUAAUGAAUAAAAUUCCCAAGUGUUCUAAACUCUUGUGCUGUUCGGUCAAGUUAAAAGUUGAGCGGCGACUAUAAACCCUCGUCUACGCCUUUAGCAGUCGAGCGGCGGCUAUAAACCCUCAUCUACGUCUUUAACAGUCGAACGACGACUAUAAACCCUCGUUUGCGCCUUCAACAGUCGAGCGGCGGCUAUAAACCCAAGUCUACGCAUCAACAGUCGAGUGGCGGCUAUAAACUCGAGUAUUCGACGAAUAAUUGCCGAGCGACAACUCUAAAACCAAGUUGGCGAUGAAUAAGGCCGAGUGACUUCCUAAAGUCAUAAAGUAAAGUUAACAGGUUAAGUAGUGAUCAAAAGCAGAGACACAUCGCUAUGAUAUAGCCGUUCGGCUUAUGCUGGAAUAAGCAUGCAGAAGUCUUUGAGAUUAGCUACACUGACGAUUGGGAAAGCGAGGAGUUAUACUUAGAAAAAUUUCACGAAAUGCUAAGUGGGACAAAGUCUCACCGGAAUCGAACGACGAUGCAUUCGUAAACACUUGCAUAUUCCGACAGAAAGAAGAAGCGUCGAAUGACAAUGCGUCGCUUAACAAUAGUAAAAUCUAAUAAUGUGAAGAAAUAUCGAACGGCGAUGCAUGAAGGAAUGCUUGUAAAAAUUAACAGAAGAAAGAUGCACUGAACGAGCGAUUAUGCAUUGACCAUUGUAGCACGGACACUCCUAAAAACAUUUUUUUGGAAGUGUCAGACACGGACACGGACACGACAAGCAAAUACGCCUGUCAGACACGGCAAAAACUGUGUCGUUGAGUUUUUACAAGUUUGACCAGUUAGACACGGCUAGGACACAGAUGAGACACGUUUCCAGACACGUUUGGGCACAAUUGCAAAAAAAUUAAAAAUUUCGAGGGUAAAUUUGAAAAUUAAUAAAAUUACGAGGACUACUUAUUUAAAUGAAAAAAAACCCUAAAUUACUCUCCCCUCCCGAUUUUUUUUUUCAUCGCAACGGAACUUUUUCAUCGCAACCAUCUCCUGCGCCGUUGCUCGCCUACGCUCUUUGCUGGCUGCCAACGCUCUCCGAUGUUCGCCGGUGCUCGCCUACGCUCUCCGCCUCUCUUCGUCGCCUGCCGCGGCUCGCAACAGCCUGUCGCUGCUCGCAGAAGCCAACAGUAGACCGCCGCUGCUCGCAGAAGCUAGCAGCAGCCCGCCGCUGCUCGCAGAAGCCAGCAGCAGCCCGCCGCUGCUCGCAAAAGCCCGGCGUCGCCUGCGCUCACUGCUCAACAGAAGCCCGACGUCGCCGCCGCUGCUCGCAAAAGCCCGGCGUCGCCUGCUCAAUAGCAACCCGCCACUGCUCGCAGAAGCCAGUAGCAGCCCAACGCUGCUUGCAGAAGCCCACCGCUGCUCCUAGAAGCCUACCGUUACUCGCAACAGCCCGUCGUCGCUUCCCGUCGCUGCCCUCUUUCUGCCUAUUUGUCAUGGAAAGUUUUCAAAAUAAGAGUGCACAUGAGGAUGUUGAUAAUUAUUCUCCUUUGUGGAAAUUUGUAACCAAGGUGCAAAAGACAGUUGGAGGAGGAAAUGUCACUUGGUCAUGCAAUAUAUGUAGUAAAGUGUGCAAAGAUCAUAUUCAAGGGUGAAAGCACACCUGUUAAAACAAAAAGGUGCUGGAAUUGCAGGUUGUACGAUUGUUACAAUGGAUCAAAUGAAGCGUAUGCAACAACUUAUUGAUGAUGCGGAAUUGAGAAAGAAGAAUUCUAAACAGAAAGAAGUUCCAUUGCGUUAGUCAUCUGCAUCAUCAAAUAUGGUUUCAAAAUCCUCAUUUUGUUUUAGUGGUAUUUUGCAAAAUGAUGAUCCAACAAAGAAGAGGAAAGGACCACUUGGCCCGCUUGAAAAAUCUUUUAACUUGAAUGCCAGAGAUGAGCUCCACUCUGAAAUUGCAAGGUUGUUUUACACUGGGGGAUUAUCUUUCAAUAUUGUUAGGAAUCCUCAUUAUGUUCGUGCUUUCAGUUUGGCUACUCAACGAACAAUUUCAGGUUAUCUUCCACCGGGAUACAAUUUAUUGAGAACUACACUUCUUCAAAAAGAAAAAGCUCAUAUUGGAAAGCUUUUAGAGCCAACAAAAGCUGCUUGGAAACAAAAGGGAGUUAGUAUUUGUAGUGAUGGGUGGUCGGAUGUGCAAAGAAGACCGCAAAUUAAUAUCAUGGCCGUGUGUGAAAGUGGUCCUAUGUUUUUGAAGGCGAUAAAUUGUGAAGGUGAGUACAAGGAUAAAACUUUCAUCUCUAAGUUGCUCAUUAAUGCCAUAAAUGAAGUGGGACAUCAGAAUGUUGUCCAAGUGGUCACCGAUAAUUCUCUUGUUUGCAAAGUUGCUGGGCUACUCGCUGAGGCAAAGUACCCACGCAUAUUUUGGACUCCUUGUGUUGUGCACACAUUAAAUCUUGCUUUGAAGAAUAUUUGUGCACCGACUGACUCUCUACAAAACAAAGAAGCUUUUGAUGAGUGCAAGUGGAUAGCAGAAGUAGCAAAUGAUGCUUCAAUGAUCAAGAAUUUUAUUAUGAAUCACAAUAUGAGAUUAUCCAUGUUCAACGAUAACUCAAACUUGAAGAUACUCGAUUUGCUUCCAUGAUCAUUAUGCUUAAAAGGUUCAGAGAAAUCAAGAAAUGUCUUGAAAACAUGGUGAUUAGUGAAAGAUGAGAUUUGUACAAGGAGGAUGAUGUAGUGAAGGCCAGAGUAGUGAAGUACAAGAUAUUGGAUGAUCAAUUUUUGAAAAAAAUUGAUUAUAUACUUGCUUUCACAAGUCCAAUUUAUAAGAUGCUAAGGAAAGCAGACACUGAUCAACCUUGUCUUCAUUUAGUUUAUGAGUGGUGGGAUGAAAUGAUAGAAAAAAUGAGAGUUGCUAUCUCAAAGGGGCCUCAUAGGUGGAGAUUCAAAGUUUUAUGAGGUUGUUCAUAAUAUUCUAGUGGAGCGAUGGAAUAAAAGCAAUACACCUCUUCAUUGUUUGGCGCAUUCUUUGAAUCCAAGGUAUUAUAGCCAUGAGUAGCUCCAAGAAUCUCCCAAUCGUCUUUCUCCUCAUAGGGACAUUGAAGUUUCAAGGGAAGGGAAAAAGUGCAUUGAAAGAUAUUACUCCAAUUCAUUCGAACGAAGAAGUGUUAAUGAGGAGUUUGCCUCUUUUUCAGUUGUCAUUGAUGUUUUUUCUGAUAAUGAUUCAAUGCGUGAUCGACUCUUCAAAGUUUAGCUUUAAAGCUACUUGGGCACCCAUCUUCUUCUUGUGAAAUUGGAGCACCUACAAUUUCAUACACUCAUUGAAGAGGAACAAGAUAACACUACAAAAAGCGGAAGAUUUGGUAUAUGUUCACUAUAAUCUUCGUCUUUUAUCUAGGAGGAGGCCACAUUAUAAUGAAGGAGAAAGUAAGAUGUGGGAUGUUGGAGUAGAUGGAUUUAAUUCCAUGGACAUGGAGGGUGCUGCUAUCCUUGAAAUUGUCAAUUUGUCUCUUGAUGAACCUGAAUUGGAGUCAGUCUUAUUUACUGACGAAGGCGGUGUUGGCGAUGAGACCGAUAUGGAUGUUUGAUUUUUUUUACUUGUUUAUUUAAGAUGUAUUUGGUGUGUGUAAGUGUGUUGCAUUUUGUUAUGUUUACUUUUUGUUUGUAAUGGAUAUUAUGGUUGAUGUAAU